rnacentral:rRNA from 1 species
UACGGGAGGCAGCAGUAGGGAAUCUUCCACAAUGGACGAAAGUCUGAUGGAGCAACGCCGCGUGAACGAUGAAGGCUUUCGGGUCGUAAAGUUCUGUUGUAAGGGAAGAACAAGUGCCGCAGGCAAUGGCGGCACCUUGACGGUACCUUGCGAGAAAGCCCCGGCUAACUACGUGCCAGCAGCCGCGGUAAUACGUAGGGGGCAAGCGUUGUCCGGAAUUAUUGGGCGUAAAGCGCGCGCAGGCGGCCUUUUAAGUCUGAUGUGAAAGCCCCCGGCUCAACCGGGGAGGGCCAUUGGAAACUGGGAGGCUUGAGUAUAGGAGAGAAGAGUGGAAUUCCACGUGUAGCGGUGAAAUGCGUAGAGAUGUGGAGGAACACCAGUGGCGAAGGCGACUCUUUGGCCUAUAACUGACGCUGAGGCGCGAAAGCGUGGGGAGCAAACAGGAUUAGAUACCCUGGUAGUCCACGCCGUAAACGAUGAGUGCUAGGUGUUGGAGGGUUUCCGCCCUUCAGUGCUGAAGCUAACGCA